GUGAGGAAUAUUGGGCAAUGGGCGAAAGCCUGACCCAGCCACGCCGCGUGAGUGAUGAAGGCCUUCGGGUUGUAAAGCUCUGUGGGGAGGGAAGAAAAAGCGCAGGAGUAACUGCCUGUGUGUUGACGGUACCUCCUUAGCAAGCACCGGCUAACUCUGUGCCAGCAGCCGCGGUAAUACAGAGGGUGCAAACGUUGCUCGGAAUUACUGGGCGUAACGCGCGUGUAGGCUGACAUGCAAGUCGGGUGUGAAAUCCCAGGGCUCAACCUUGGAACUGCACUCGAAACUGCACGUCUUGAGUACUGGAGAGGGAAGCGGAAUUCCGGGUGUAGAGGUGAAAUUCGUAGAUAUCCGGAGGAACACCAGUGGCGAAGGCGGCUUCCUGGACAGUAACUGACGCUGAGACGCGAAAGCGUGGGGAGCAAACAGGAUUAGAAACCCGAGUAGUCC
rnacentral:rRNA from 1 species